rnacentral:rRNA from 1 species
UACGUAGGUGGCUAGCGUUGUCCGGAUUUACUGGGCGUAAAGAGCGCGCAGGCGGUCGUUCAAGUCGAGUGUGAAAGCCCCCGGCUCAACUGGGGAGGGUCACUCGAUACUGCUCGACUCGAAGGCAGGAGAGGGAAGCGGAAUUCCCGGUGUAGUGGUGAAAUGCGUAGAUAUCGGGAGGAACACCAGUGGCGAAGGCGGCUUUCUGGCCUGCUCUUGACGCUGAGGCGCGAAAGCUAGGGUAGCAAACGGG